rnacentral:tRNA from 1 species
GGGUCCAUAGCUCAGUUGGAUAGAGCAACAGCCUUCUAAGCUGUAGGCCGGAGGUUCGAGACCUCCUGGGCUCACCA